GGGCGCUUAGCUCAGCUGGUUAGAGCACAUCCCUUACAAGGAUGGGGUCGGGGGUUCGAGUCCCUCAGCGCCCACCC
rnacentral:tRNA from 1 species